rfam:Dipodomys ordii contig_18294, whole genome shotgun sequence.
GGGAAGUUGGCUCAGUGGUAAAGUACUUGCCUUGAAUGCAUGAGGCCCUUGGUUCAAUUCCUUAGCACCUCA